rnacentral:rRNA from 1 species
CUACGGGAGGCAGCAGUGGGGAAUUUUCCGCAAUGGGCGAAAGCCUGACGGAGCAAUACCGCGUGAGGGAAGACUGCCUAUGGGUUGUAAACCUCUUUUUUCAGGGAGGAAUAAAAUGACGUGUACCUGAAGAAUAAGCAUCGGCUAACUCCGUGCCAGCAGCCGCGGUAAGACGGAGGAUGCAAGUGUUAUCCGGAAUCACUGGGCGUAAAGCGUCUGUAGGUGGUUUAAUAAGUCAACUGUUAAAUCUUGAGGCUCAACUUCAAAACCGCAGUCGAAACUAUUAGACUAGAGUAUAGUAGAGGUAAAGGGAAUUUCCAGUGGAGCGGUGAAAUGCGUAGAGAUUGGAAAGAACACCGAUGGCGAAAGCACUUUACUGGGCUAUUACUAACACUCAGAGACGAAAGCUAGGGUAGCAAAUGGGAUUAGAUACCCCAGUAGUCCUAGCCGUAAACAAUGGAUACUAGAUGUUGAACAGAUCGACCUGUGCAGUAUCAAAGCUAACGCGUUAAGUAUCCCGCCUGGGAAGUAUGCUCGCAAGAGUGAAACUCAAAG